rnacentral:rRNA from 1 species
GAUGAACGCUGGCGGCGUGCCUAGUACAUGCCAGUCGAGCGAACAGAUGAGGAUCUUGCUCCUCUGACGUGAGCGGCGGACGGGUGUGUAACACGUGUAUCACCUACCUAUAAGAGUGGUAUAACUACGGGAAACCGGAGCUAAUAGCGGAUAAUAUACUGAACCGCAUUGUUCAAUAGUGAAAGUCGGCUUUUGGGUCACGUCUCGCUGGAUCCGCGCCUCAUUAGCUAGUUGGUAAUUUAACGGCCUACCAAGGGAACGAUGCGUAGGCGAAGUGACAGACGGAUCGGCGACACUGGAACGUGGACACCGACAUGGCGCCUAAGGGAGGCAGCAGUAGGGAAUCGUCCGCAAUAGGCGAAAGCCUGACGGAGCAACGGCACGUGAGUGACGACGGUCUUCGGAUCGUAAAACCCUGUUAUUAGGGAAGAACCACUGUCUCCGUAAAUAUGCCCGUCUUGACGGUACCUAAUAAGGAAGCACCGGCUAACUACGUG